CACAUAUUACAACAUUUUUUGCAGCUGUGAUGUCAAAACUUCCAGAACGAGUCAGGACAACAUUCAAGCGUCCCGGUAGGGGUCUGUACCUGAGAGGAAUGCUCUCCCAUGUUUUCCUACCCAUUAUUACCGCAUUCUUUUUCCCAGGAUUUGACGUGCUCAAUGUAAGCUCCUUGAAAAAUUUAAGGUCAGAUGGUAAGCUCCAUGGUAACUUC
rnacentral:misc_RNA from 1 species